UACGUAGGGUGCAAGCGUUGUCCGGAAUUAUUGGGCGUAAAGAGCUCGUAGGCGGUCUGUCGCGUCUGCUGUGAAAACCUGGGGCUUAACCCCGGGCCUGCAGUGGGUACGGGCAGACUAGAGUGCGGUAGGGGAGACUGGAAUUCCUGGUGUAGCGGUGAAAUGCGCAGAUAUCAGGAAGAACACCGGUGGCGAAGGCGGGUCUCUGGGCCGAUACUGACGCUGAGGAGCGAAAGCGUGGGGAGCGAACAGG
rnacentral:rRNA from 1 species